rnacentral:lncRNA from 1 species
GGCUAGAGCACUUUGGGAAGAUAAGGCUGCUGUAAGUUUUUCUAGAGCCUCAGGACUGCUCCAUUAAGGGUCACCAUAUAGGCACCAGGGGCCAACGGAGGAAAAGAACUUGCAGAAAUCAGUCUGCAAUGGAUUGAAAAUGAAGAAGGAAGAAAGAGCUUUCAUCACGGUUUCUGAAGUGAUGAUCUAUCUUGGGGAUGUUCAACGUGUGGUUCUCAGCAAGUAAUGUCUACGUCAUCUCGGAACUGGUUAGAAAUGCAAAUUCUCGGGCCUCCCUCCAGAUCAAA